rnacentral:tRNA from 1 species
AUUUAAAUAGCUUAUAUUUAGAGCUUAACACUGAAGAUGUUACGGAGAUUGUCAUAAUUUUUAAAUA